rnacentral:tRNA from 1 species
GCCUGUAGCUCAGUGGUAGAGCGGUCGGCUCAUAACCGAUUGGUCACAGGUUCGAACCCUGUCGGGCC